ACUCAGGAAAACUGAAAGGAAGGAUGCCUU
rnacentral:piRNA from 1 species